rnacentral:sRNA from 1 species
UCGUUCUGCUGAAAAUCACAUUGAGUUGCAAAACGAGAAGAAGAAGAAGGGCAGCAAGUGCAGGGACACUCUGCACUCAAAAUAUUUUAUUUUCGGAAAUUGGAACAGCUGAAUAAAUAUAGAAAAAGUGCAUAAACAUAGGAAACUUUCCGAUCUCAAUCAGUUGCAGUUACAAGCUUCAGAGUGCAACAUGUCUAAGGUACUUGUGAUAGCUCUAUUGGUAUUAGUGCAAGCUAUCUGUUUGCUAGCAGAUACAUCAAAUCUAAGGAAACUCAUCAGAGAUAUCAGAAUGAAACUAUUUGAUCUGAUUGAGGAUUUACGUAACAGUUAAUUGGAUUACUGGAAUAUUAUUUGAUAUAUGUAUUUAUAUUUAUAUGUAGGCAAU